AUUGAACGCUGGCGGCAGGCCUAACACAUGCAAGUCGAGCGGAGCGGCGGACGGGUGAGUAAUUCCUAGGAAUCUGCCUGGUAGUCGGGGAUAACGUCCGGCAACGGGCGCUAAUACCGCAUACUAUCAGAUGAGCCUGGGGCGGAUUAGCUAGUUGGUGGGGUAAAGGCCUACCAAGGCGACGAACCGUAACUGGUGUGAGAGGAUGAUCAGUCACACUGGAACUGAGGCAAGGUACAGACUCCGACGGGAGGCAUGAGUGGGGGAUAUUGGACAAUGGGCGAAAGCCUGAUCCAGCCAUGCCGGGUGUGUGAAGAAGGUCUUCGGAUUGUAAAGCACUUUAAGUUGGGAGGCGUUACCAACAGAAUAAGCACCGGCUAACUUCGUGCCAGCCGCCGCGGUAAUUC
rnacentral:rRNA from 1 species